UACGGAGGGUGCAAGCGUUAAUCGGAAUUACUGGGCGUAAAGCGCGCGUAGGUGGUUUUGUAAGUUGGAUGUGAAAGCCCUGGGCUCAACCUGGGAACUGCAUUCAAAACUGCAUCACUAGAGUAUGGGAGAGGGAAGUGGAAUUUCCGGUGUAGCGGUGAAAUGCGUAGAGAUCGGAAGGAACACCAAUGGCGAAGGCAACUUCCUGGACCAAUACUGACACUGAGGUGCGAAAGCGUGGGGAGCAAACAGG
rnacentral:rRNA from 1 species